rnacentral:other from 1 species
UAAUCCCUGUGAUGUACGUGAUGUCCCAAAUGUUUUGAGCCAACACUUUAGUCUAGGGAGCCGUCAUCCAAUGCAUGGUCCAGGGACUUGGUCCCUGAUCAUCGGUGGGCACCCACCUGCGUAUGCAGGUUCAAGACUAGGAAGACACACGGCGUUGCGGGGAUUAC